GUUCUACUCCCUCCGUUCGGAAUUACUCGUCCAAGAAAUGAAUGUAUCUAGAUGUAUUUUAGUUGUAGAUACAUCCAUUUUUGUGACAAGUAAUUCAGAACGGAGGGAGUAACUC
rnacentral:pre_miRNA from 1 species